rnacentral:rRNA from 1 species
GAUGAACGCUGGCGGCGUGCCUAAUACAUGCAAGUCGAGCGAACAGACGAGGAGCUUGCUCCUCUGACGUUAGCGGCGGACGGGUGAGUAACACGUGGAUAACCUACCUAUAAGACUGGGAUAACUUCGGGAAACCGGAGCUAAUACCGGAUAAUAUAUUGAACCGCAUGGUUCAAUAGUGAAAGACGGUUUUGCUGUCACUUAUAGAUGGAUCCGCGCCGCAUUAGCUAGUUGGUAAGGUAACGGCUUACCAAGGCAACGAUGCGUAGCCGACCUGAGAGGGUGAUCGGCCACACUGGAACUGAGACACGGUCCAGACUCCUACGGGAGGCAGCAGUAGGGAAUCUUCCGCAAAGGGGGAAAGCCUGACGGAGCAACGCCGCGUGAGUGAUGAAGGUCUUCGGAUCGUAAAACUCUGUUAUUAGGGAAGAACAAAUGUGUAAGUAACUAUGCACGUCUUGACGGUACCUAAUCAGAAAGCCACGGCUAACUACGUG